UACGUAGGGGGCGAGCGUUGUCCGGAAUGAUUGGGCGUAAAGCGCGCGCAGGCGGUCUAAUCAGUCUGGUUUGAAAGACCUCGGCUCAACCGGGGGAUGGAGUCAGAAACUGUUAGACUUGAGUGCAGGAGAGGGGAGUGGAAUUCCCGGUGUAGCGGUGAAAUGCGUAGAGAUCGGGAGGAACACCAGUGGCGAAGGCGACUCUCUGGCCUGUAACUGACGCUGAGGCGCGAAAGCGUGGGGAGCGAACAGG
rnacentral:rRNA from 1 species